UACGUAAGGACCGAGCGUUGUCCGGAAUCAUUGGGAGUAUAGGGUACGUAGGCGGGUUUUUAAGUUAGAAGUCAAAGGCUAUAGCUCAACUAUAGUAAGCUUCUAAAACUGGAAUACUUGAGUAAUGGAAGGGAAAGUGGAAUUCCUAGUGUAGCGGUGAAAUGCGCAGAUAUUAGGAGGAAUACCGGUGGCGAAGGAGACUUUCUGGCCAUAAACUGACGCUGAGGUACGUAAGCGUGGGUAGCAAACAGG
rnacentral:rRNA from 1 species